UGGAAAUGCACUCGUCUUGAC
rnacentral:misc_RNA from 1 species